rnacentral:rRNA from 1 species
GAUGAACGCUGGCGACGUGCCUAAUACAUGCAAGUAGAACGCUGAAGCUUGGUGCUUGCACCGAGCGGAUGAGUUGCGAACGGGUGAGUAACGCGUAGGUAACCUGCCUCUUAGCGGGGGAUAACUAUUGGAAACGAUAGCUAAUACCUCAUAAAAGUCGAUAUCGCAUGAUAUUGAUUUGAAAGGUGCAAUUGCAUCACUAAGAGAUGGACCUGCGUUGUAUUAGCUAGUUGGUGAGGUAACGGCUCACCAAGGCGACGAUACAUAGCCGACCUGAGAGGGUGAUCGGCCACACUGGGACUGAGACACGGCCCAGACUCCUACGGGAGGCAGCAGUAGGGAAUCUUCGGCAAUGGGGGCAACCCUGACCGAGCAACGCCGCGUGAGUGAAGAAGGUUUUCGGAUCGUAAAGCUCUGUUGUAAGAGAAGAACGAGUGUGAGAGUGGAAAGUUCACACUGUGACGGUAACUUACCAGAAAGGGACGGCUAACUACGUG